AUUGAACGCUGGCGGCAGGCCUAACACAUGCAAGUCGAAUGGUAACAGGAAACAGCUUGCUGUUUCGCUGACGAGUGGCGGACGGGUGAGUAAUGUCUGGGAAACUGCCUGAUGGAGGGGGAUAACUACUGGAAACGGUAGCUAAUACCGCAUAACGUCGCAAGACCAAAGAGGGGGACCUUCGGGCCUCUUGCCAUCAUAUGUGCCCAGAUGGGAUUAGCUAGUAGGUGGGGUAACGGCUCACCUAGGCGACGAUCCCUAGCUGGUCUGAGAGGAUGACCAGCCACACUGGAACUGAGACACGGUCCAGACUCCUACGGGAGGCAGCAGUGGGGAAUAUUGCACAAUGGGCGCAAGCCUGAUGCAGCCAUGCCGCGUGUAUGAAGAAGGCCUUCGGGUUGUAAAGUACUUUCAGCGGGGAGGAAGGGAGUAAAGUUAAUACCUUUGCUCAUUGACGUUACCCGCAGAAGAAGCACCGGCUAACUCCGUG
rnacentral:rRNA from 1 species